rnacentral:rRNA from 1 species
AUUGAACGCUGGCGGCAUGCUUUACACAUGCAAGUCGAACGGUAACAGGUUAAGCUGACGAGUGGCGAACGGGUGAGUAAUGCAUCGGAACGUACCCGAUCGUGGGGGAUAACGCAGCGAAAGCUGCGCUAAUACCGCAUACGAUCUGAGGAUGAAAGCGGGGGACCGUAAGGCCUCGCGCGAUCGGAGCGGCCGAUGUCAGAUUAGGUAGUUGGUGGGGUAAAGGCCCACCAAGCCAACGAUCUGUAGCGGGUCUGAGAGGACGACCAGCCACACUGGGAACGAGACACGGCCCAGACUCCUACGGGAGGCAGCAGUGGGGAAUUUUGGACAAUGGGCGAAAGCCUGAUCCAGCAAUGCCGCGUGCAGGAAGAAGGCCUUCGGGUUGUAAACUGCUUUUGUACGGAGCGAAAAGGCUCUCUCUAAUACAGGGGGCUCAUGACGGUACCGUAAGAAUAAGCACCGGCUAACUACGUGCCAGCCGCCGCGGUAA